CUAAGACAGAAGCUUUGCUGCUGUUCAGAAAUGUUUUCCCUGAGAACACAUCAGAUUGCCUAGCAUGGACAUGAAUAAUUGAAGAACACCAUCACGGCAGCAGUCUUCCCAAGGGGCUUUUCCAACACCUUGUUAUCAGCUGAUAUGCUGCCUAGACAACCUCAUGGGAGCUCAGACUGUGAUCCCCUACUAUGUCGAAGGGAAGGAAGCAAGCAUGACAGGUGAUCAGAGCACAACCACAGAAGAAAAGUUUUUAGGAUAUUGGCAAAUGCAGUUUAAAAAUACGAAGAAGAAAUACGAAGCUUACAGCGGGACUUCAUGAUAUAAUCGCUGGACGUGCUCGUGUUGGCCUGUAGAGGACAGAGAAGCAACUCAUAUCACUCAUCAGAAAUUCCUGCCAAGCUCUAUACAUCUGACAGCUGUGAAGAGAAUCAUCAGAGAAGGAAGUUGGAUUGCAUGGGCAGACACACUUCCUGGCAUCACAAAGAGGACACUCGGCCAUCUGGACCUGCUGCUCUAUGUCAAGCACAGCUCUGAGGCCACUCAGACCAUCAUGGAGAGACCAGGACUGUAGGAGAAGACAGCACUACUAAUAUAGAGGUGCUUUUGUCAUGGGAUAUCAAACACUGUGUGUCAUCAUAACUGUAUUGCCAGCAGCCUGUCAGAGAGAAAAAGAAAUAUAAC